rnacentral:rRNA from 1 species
CAGCCGCCACGGUAAUACGAAGGGGGCUAGCGUUGCUCGGAAUUACUGGGCGUAAAGGGCGCGUAGGCGGACAGUUAAGUCGGGGGUGAAAGCCCGGGGCUCAACCUCGGAAUUGCCUUCGAUACUGGCUGUCUUGAGUACGGGAGAGGCGUGUGGAACUCCGAGUGUAGAGGUGAAAUUCGUAGAUAUUCGGAAGAACACCAGUGGCGAAGGCGACACACUGGCCCGUUACUGACGCUGAGGCGCGAGAGCGUGGGGAGCAAACAGGAUUAGAUACCCCCGUAGUCCCUGUCUCUUAUAC